AUGUCACCCAGACUGAGAAAGAUCCAGAAACUUCAUGGCCAUGACUGUAUGUGUCAGUCAGCAUUAGAAGCAGCCAGGAGGCCAGGGUAGUACUGAUAACAUGCAUCACCACAGGAUCAACUUUGACAAAUACCAUCCAGGUGACUUGGGAGUUAGUAUGAGGCGUUACCACUUAAAGAAGGACCAGAUCUGUGACCAACCCUCAGCCUGAAUAAGCUUUGGACAUUGGUCACUGAGAAUUGGUCAGUAAGUCGGUAACCGCUGCCUAAAGAAGACUGGAGCUAUUCCAGUCACUGAUGUAAUAUGAUCCUGAUACCGCAAAGUUCUGGGGAAGAGAAAGUUCCCUAAGCCGCCUGUCAUCAUGGAAGCCACAUGCUUCAGAAAAGGAGCUCAGGAGAUUAAGAGUGUUGGGGGUUUCUGUGUCCUGAAGGCUUGA
rnacentral:lncRNA from 1 species